AAAGUCGUAACAAGGUCUCCGUAGGUGAACCUGCGGAGGGAUCAUUUUUGAUUGUGUUAAACAAUAAUAACUUUUACUGGAAUUGUUUUGGCCGUGGAUACGGUAGUGGUCGUGGUGUUUCCCGGGAACGGGGACGCCCGACCGUGUGAACUUGUGUGAUUGUAUUGAAAUCGUUGUCGUCAUGCGGCAAUGGUUGGAGAAAGGGUCCCAAGACAUACGUUUACGUAUGGAUUCUAUAAAAGUUAUACAACUUUUGGCAAUGGAUCUCUUGGUUCUC
rnacentral:misc_RNA from 1 species